rfam:Myotis lucifugus cont2.14155, whole genome shotgun sequence.
GGCGGUUCUCAGGUGACGCACCCCAGAAUCAGGCUCCCUCCUCUCUGGUUCUGGGUGCGUCACUCAAGAACUGCA